rnacentral:rRNA from 1 species
GACGAACGCUGGCGGCGUGCCUAAUACAUGCAAGUUGAGCGCUGAAGGUUGGUACUUGUACCGACUGGAUGAGCAGCGAACGGGUGAGUAACGCGUGGGGAAUCUGCCUUUGAGCGGGGGACAACAUUUGGAAACGAAUGCUAAUACCGCAUAACAACUUUAAACACAAGUUUUAAGUUUGAAAGAUGCAAUUGCAUCACUCAAAGAUGAUCCCGCGUUGUAUUAGCUAGUUGGUGAGGUAAAGGCUCACCAAGGCGAGGAUACAUAGCCGACCUGAGAGGGUGAUCGGCCACAUUGGGACUGAGACACGGCCCAAACUCCUACGGGAGGCAGCAGUAGGGAAUCUUCGGCAAUGGACGAAAGUCUGACCGAGCAACGCCGCGUGAGUGAAGAAGGCCUUCGGGUUGUAAAGCUCUGUCGGAGGGGACGAAUGCGUCUGGGUGAAUAGCUCAGACGAAUGACGGUACCCUUAAAGGAAGCACCGGCUAACCUCGUGCCAGCCGCCGCAGUAA